CACUUCAGCAUUUAAGCGAUCUUAACGUUGCGGUUUGAACAUGCUUUGAAAGCUCACUGCUUCCAUUUCAUGUCAUUGAAAGGACUGUUUGUGUCAGUGUGCAUAGGUUCACGUGCGUAUGUCUGUGUGAUUGCGCGGUGCGUAAGUUAGUUCACAGGUGGAAAGCUGUGGUGGAUAACGAUGGUUAUGAACGCGGUUUUCUUGGGCGGCCUUCAAAUUCAGUUAAAUAUAUCUGGAGGAAGAGUAUUUUUCACAACGAGGCCAUUUUUGCGACGUGAAGGAGGAGUGGAGCAGCACUGCACACCAUUUCAUGGAUUUUGCUGUGGAACAGUACAGUGAAAAUGACAGACCGAACAGUGAUGCAAUCACUAAAAUCCCGAGAAGCAAGGAACCACAGACUUUUUUUUUUUCUAUCCGCAAGUCACCUUUGUUCAAACAUGGAAGGGUGUGUUCUGUGUGCAUGUGGAUUUGUCUUGGAGAUGUUGAUGUUAAGUUUUAAAUUUACAUAGGUGGAAAAAGUAAAAAAAAUAAACGGAUGCAGAUGUUUGGUCCAAAUUUGAUAAGGUAUACGAAUUGUUAACUAUGCACUGUAUACUAAUCUUUAUUGUAUACAAUUUUUGCAGUUAGCAUUAAGGUUUUUAGUAAGAUAUAUGCUAUUCUAUACUACAUAUACUAAUAUGUAGUAUAGAAUUGGGGCCUAUGGUUGGGACACAGUUACUUUUUAAGCUGUCUACCUCAAGUACUAUACUAUAGAUUUUUAAAUAUGCAGUCCUCUGUUUUAAUCCAUCCAUUGUUUUAUGGUUUGUAAUAUAUUGAAUAUGUUAAGAGCUGCUUGUCACUUAUGAACAUUUUAGAAGACAUGGACGAUGAUUGUAAAUUUAAUGGAAGACAGAAUUCAGUGUAUUUGCUAUACACUUUAAAGCACUAGAAAAACGUUUGGCUUGUUACUGUUCAAUAGUCAGUCAAGAAUAAAUCGUUACAUUUAUUG